rnacentral:rRNA from 1 species
UGGGGAAUAUUGCACAAUGGGCGAAAGCCUGAUGCAGCAACGCCGCGUGAGUGAUGAAGGUCUUCGGAUUGUAAAGCUCUGUCUUUUGGGACGAUAAUGACGGUACCAAAGGAGGAAGCCACGGCUAACUACGUGCCAGCAGCCGCGGUAAUACGUAGGUGGCGAGCGUUGUCCGGAUUUACUGGGCGUAAAGGGUGCGUAGGCGGAUGUUUAAGUGAGAUGUGAAAUACCCGGGCUUAACUUGGGUGCUGCAUUUCAAACUGGAUAUCUAGAGUGCAGGAGAGGAGAAUGGAAUUCCUAGUGUAGCGGUGAAAUGCGUAGAGAUUAGGAAGAACACCAGUGGCGAAGGCGAUUCUCUGGACUGUAACUGACGCUGAGGCACGAAAGCGUGGGUAGCAAACAGGAUUAGAUACCCUGGUAGUCCACGCCGAUAAACGAUGAGUAGCUAGGUGUA